UACGAAGGGGGCGAGCGUUGUUCGGAAUUACUGGGCGUAAAGGGCGCGUAGGCGGUCCUUCAAGUCAGGCGUGAAAGCCCCGGGCUCAACCUGGGAACCGCGCUUGAGACUGGCGGACUCGAGUUCGGGAGAGGAUGGUGGAAUUCCCAGUGUAGAGGUGAAAUUCGUAGAUAUUGGGAAGAACACCGAUGGCGAAGGCAGCCAUCUGGACCGACACUGACGCUGAGGCGCGAAAGCGUGGGGAGUAAACAGG
rnacentral:rRNA from 1 species